CCCUUAGAUGUCCGGGGCCGCACGCGCGCUACAAUGGAUGAAUCAACGCGUCAUCCUGGCCCGAAAGGGUUGGGGAACCGCUGAACCUCAUCCGUGGUUGGGAUUGGGGUUUGUAAUUAUUCCCCAUGAACUAGGAAUUCCCAGUAAGCGCGAGUCAUCAGCUCGCGUUGAUUACGUCCCUGCCCUUUGUACACACCGCCCGUCGCUACUACCGAUUGGAUGGUUUAGUGAGACCCUCGGAUCGGUCCCGACUCGGGGUGGGCUUCUGCCCCGGUCGUGGUUUCGCCGAGAAGACGGUCAAACUUGACUAUCUAGAGGAAGUAAAAGUCGUAACA
rnacentral:rRNA from 1 species